rnacentral:lncRNA from 1 species
AAGUCAUAUGGACACAUACUUUUAAAAUUUCAAUAACAUAUUUGCCAGAAUGAUAAAAUAAUAUUUAUCUUCCUAAAGAUAUGAAUACUUGAUUUGACAGCAUGUGAAUACAAGCAUGACAUAGUUCCUGAGUGUUAAGUAGACUAUAACUUUAUUAUACCUUACCACACAUUUUCUUAAAUCAAAGUUCUUUCUUAUCCUUGUUUAUAUUGGGUUUGGAAUUUUUAUUGUUGUACUCAACACAAAUAUCAUAAGAGUUAAAAGGAAAUUUAAUAAUAGAUAAUAAUAUUUCAAGGAAGAUAUCUAAUUUUAGUAGCAUUCAUAGAAAUGCAUAUUUAAAUAAAUGUAAAUUUAAUUGUCAGAAUAACAUUUUCAUUUAAUAUUAAUUGAAUAGGUAUUUCAGCACUGAAAUAUCAUUGGUAAAAUUUUGUUUUGAACUUGUAUUAUCAAGAUAUGUAUUAGAUGUAUGGUUUUGGAUAAAAAGCAGUAUUAGAGUAUAUAUUCUAAUAGGCACCAGAGUUAGAUAUUUGUAUUAAGUUUGGUAUUCUAGCCUUUUUGUUGAUCAUGAAUUGAGGCACAAUCUGUUUUCUAUCAUACCCUGAAUUUAGGAUAUCAUUUUCUAGGACCCAGGACUGAUGGAAUGCUGAUUAAAGGGUCAGCAAUGGGAGAGGAAUGCAGGCUGUUUCACUAGCUGACCAUAGUCUCUGGGACCACCUGUAGCUAUGGGAAAGUAGAGGCAGCUUUAGAGCUGUCUGGAAGUACGGCUUGGAAAUCCUAUCAGAUACAUCCAGUUUACAUCAGUUUGCAGCAAGUCCAGGGCAAGCUGCUUUUAAUUUGGAACAUUUUACAGUCUUCAGUUCAUUGGAAAUCUGCUGGAACAGAUAUAGACUAGGAACAGAAGGUAAAGCUAGGGAGCUUAGGGAAACAUCAUAUCUUGGGUACAUACUUGAAACUUUCAUGCCUGUGGUCCUGAUAUAUGGGAGUGUAGAAAUACUCCCAAGAUCAAGGAAGGAGGGGGGGGCCUGUUCAGCAAUAAUAGGCAGUAGAUGGGGAGGCUUCAAUUGUUGGUUAAUUUGUGACAGGCAAAUCCAAGUUGUGAUUCCCUGAAGCAUACAUUAUAUUUUAAAGUGUACAAAAAGAGAUAAAAGUUUUAGAUAUUCUAGCAUCCUAGCAUUACUACUAUUUGUAUUCUGUACUGAAAUUCACAUUGUUGAAAAAGCAUUAAAUUCAUACCUAUAAGUCAUCUCUCUCUCUCUCUCUCCCUGUCUCUCUCUGUCUCUCUCUGUCUCUCUCUCUGUCUCUCUCUGUCUCUCUGUCUCUCUCUGUCUCUCUCUCUCUCUCUCUCUCUCUCUCUCUCUCUCUCUCUCUCUCACACACACACACACACACACAAAGAAAGAUUCUUUACUUGGUUAAAAGCAUGAACACUCCUUUCCCCUGUCUAGACUGUGAGAAGCACUUUUAAAUCUACAGUUAGAAGACAACCAAAGGAAUUUUAAAUUUUGGAGCUUUUGAUGAGAAAUAAUAGUAGUCUGUUCUUUGCCAGAGAUAGAUUAAUAACUUAUCAGACAUCUUAAUAAAACAUAACACAUCUUAAUACAGCAAUAGCACCGUGAGAAGAAAGGAAUCAUAAACAUUGCUCUUCUUCACUUGCCUCAGAUCACUUCCUUAUGCCAUUAAUGUCUUUCAUUUAUACCCCUUAAAUCACCUCUUAGAUCCUCACAACUUACUUAAGUUUUCAUAUCCUCAAAUAUUUACCAGGUAUAUAUACAUAAAUUAGUUUCUUGGGUCCUCACAGAUUUCCUUUAAGCCUUUCUUUUUCCAUUCAGUCAUUGACUUAAGUGGUGGAUUACUGAGAGUAAUCAUAGCAAAGCUAAUGAAAGAGACUUACCCAUUAGCUGCAUGGUUACGCUAGGCUACCCCACAGUAAUCUGUUUGGAUAGGGCUCUUGUGGCAAGUAAGGCAUGGUGCCGUUCUUUGUCCAGUGAUUAAUGGUAGCACAAUCCACGUGGAAUCUUCUGUGUCCCAUCUUCUUCUCUGAAGACCUAACAGACAUUUUUGUUUAUCAUGAAAACCUUUUUGGUUAAACACUUUAAAUGAUAUAUUUGGCAGAUUUCUGGGAACUUUGGGGACAAUUAACUUUUAGGUAUACAUGAUUUCAAACAAACUUUGUUUGUUUUUAGCAACUUGCUUUAGGUUAACAUUGAAACUAUAAACAGAAGGUUAAAGUUUGCCCCUACAAAAUGAACUACAUUUGUACUUAGCUUGACUACAAAUAAUUCUGGGCAUAUUAAAGAAUUUACUCAUUUCUAAGGUAACUUACCAUUAACUUAUAUGCCUUUAGUAUCUUUAACAGCUUAGAUGUUAGUGUAUUUUAUAUGGUUAAGAUUUUACAAUUUUACCUUGUUAAAUUUUAGUCUUAAAUUUCGAAUUGAAAAUUAUAUGGAAGGUACUUUAACAUC